AACGCUGCGGCGUCUUACCAUGCAGUGAACGAGAAUGGACUACGGUUCUGAGUAUAGUGGCGCCGGGUCUACACGUAAGUUAUCUACCCUAGACUCUGGGAUAACGGCUCGAAAGGGCCGCUAAGACUAGAUAGUUCCUCGUAGUGAAACUAUAAGGGGAAAGAGGGUUUUUCUGAGACUUUUGGUCUAGGCUGAGCUUGCGGCCCAUUAGCUUGUUGGUAGGGUAAUGGCUUACCAAGGCGACGAUCGGUAGCUCGUCUGAGAGGAUGAUCAGCCACACUGGCACUGAGACACGGGCCAGACUCCUACGGGAGGCAGCAGUGGGGAAUUUUGCGCAAUGGGCGAAAGCCUGACGCAGUAACGCCGCGUGGAGGAUGAAGGCCUUCGGGUCGUAAACUCCUGUCAGGGGGGAAGACGAUACUUAUCUUAAUAAGGUAAGUCUUCAGACGGUACCUCCAAAGGAAGCCCCGGCUAAUUCCGUGCCAGCAGCCGCGGUAAUACGGAAGGGGCGAGCGUUGUUCGGAAUUAUUGGGCGUAAAGGGCGCGUAAGCCGUUGUGUUUGUCUACUGUGAAAGGCCACGGCUUACCUGUAGGGGUUGCGGUAGAAACCGCGCAACUUGAAGCUGGGAGGGGUUGGU
rnacentral:rRNA from 1 species